AGACUUGCCUAUCGGGGUUCGAUUAAGCCAUGCGAGUCGAGAGGGUUCAGACCCUCGGCGGACUGCUCAGUAACACGUGGAUAACCUGACCUGUGGUGGAGGAUAACCCCGGGAAACUGGGGAUAAUACUCCAUAAGUUACGAAAUCUGGAAUGAUUUGUAGCUCAAAGCUCCGGCGCCACAGGAUGGAUCUGCGGCCGAUUAGGUAGUAGUUGGGGUAGAGGCCCAACUAGCCUGUAAUCGGUACGGGUUGUGGGGGCAAGAGCCCGGAGAUGGAAUCUGAGACACGAUUCCAGGCCCUACGGGGCGCAGCAGGCGCGAAAACUUUACAAUGCAGGAAACUGUGAUAAGGGAACCCCGAGUGCCCGUACACGCGGGCUGUUUGGGUGUUUAAAAUGCACCCAAAGAAAGGGCCGGGCAAGACCGGUGCCAGCCGCCGCGGUAAUACCGGCGGCUCGAGUGGUGACCACUUUUAUUGGGCUUAAAGCGUUCGUAGCUGGAUUGUUAAGUCUCUUGGGAAAUCCGCCGGCUCAACCGGCGGGCGUCUAAGAGAUACUGGCAAUCUUGGGACCGGGAGAGGUAAGAGGUACUCUCGGGGGUAGGAGUGAACUCCUGUAAUCCCCGGGGGACCACCGGUGGCGAAGGCGUCUUACCAGAACGGCUCCGACAGUGAGGAACGAAAGCUGGGGGAGCGAACCGGAUUAGAUACCCGGGUAGUCCCAGCCGUAAACGAUGCGCGUUAGGUGUACCGGCGACCACGAGUUGCCGGAGUGCCGAAGGGAAACCGUGAAACGUGCCGCCUGGGAAGUACGU
rnacentral:rRNA from 1 species